CAGCCGAUAUUGUAAAAGUGUUAUUGCUUCAGGUUUACUUGCCGUCUAUAGACAAGAGUCGUUAAACUCGGCCCAACCCGUGUACGCUGUAACCAAGCGGAGUUACAGGCGGAUAAUACGGAGCUACGUUUGAUAUAAGCCACUGGGAUUGAAUAUACUGCUGACAUUUCUUUAAAGCCUUCUUGUAGAGUUUAUUAUAGACAUGGUGUAUAUACUUCCGCAUUUGUUCACCACAUUAUAUGACCUCCGUAGUCGCUCUCGGCAAUCCCAAGACAGUCUUUACAGUUGUUUUUCAUAGCAUUACUUUUGCGGCAGUAAAAUAAAGAAAGCAAAAUGCCAAUCCAAUCAUGUAAAUCGAGGUUAUGAAUGCCAGUUUUAGCGAGAAGCGGAUUACAAACAGGCAUCAUGCUAACAGCACAGAGACUUGUAAUGUGUACAGCUGACAACGCAGAAUUUGCUAGUGUGCGAUGAACCGAUGUCGUGUAUGUGGUGUGCGCCUUAUGUGUCGUCUGAUUCUCAGAUACUCUGUAGGUUCUCCCCAUAUCUAGGCUGCAUCACUAACAUCGGGUGGUUUUUCGCAGACUGAUAUCCCGCGCUAUAAAUUCAUUAAAGCUUCUCGUUCACUUACAAUGUGCGCUGAUACUCUGAGCCCACCCAGUCCUUUCCAGGCGCUAUAUGCCUGUGCGGCCGAGCAUAUGCGUACGUCAUUAGUGUAUUGAUUGCUUUGACAUAUCACCGGAACAGACUGCACUAACAUGUGCGCAGCUAGGUAUCCCAUUUGGCGGUACGUUGAAAGCUAUGCUAGAAAUGCACUACAUUACUCAUCGUCGCUGGCCAUAAUGCUAGCGCCUGACGUGCGUGCUAACGGUUUUUACAAACACUGCGUUCAUCCAAGUGUGCACUCCUGCUCCAUGCGAUAGCCCACAGCGUUUGUAAUACAGCGCGCCAAGGCAUUUCCUUUUUCCAUGGAAAGAACUGAAAAAUGGAAGGUUAAAGCAACCGGUUUCGCGCGCAUGGAACGCAGAGAGAGAGAGAGAGCGACAAUAAAAAAAAAAGAAAAAAAAAAGAAGAGAAACGGGCAAAGGCGCUCAGAUUUCUCGGAGCACGUACGCCGUCGCCGGCCGCAGCUCCUGCGCAUGCGCAGCGGCAGCAACGGCGGCGCGCCAUCUCUCCGCGUCGAUUUGAAUUCUCAACGGCUGCGCCAGGCAAGUCAACGCUUGUUGCUGCUGGUGAGCUGCCUGCACCUUGGUGUCUGUGUAUUCGUCUCGACUUUGUGGCAUCACACGUCAACUACACUGAACGCGGGUGUCAUAGACUGCCAGGGAAUUUUCAUGAAAACAGCCAGGGAAAGCUUGGAAAAACAUCAGGGAAAUUGAAAAUGACAACAUAGCAUGCACCUGCAGCACCUUCGGAACCGCUUACACGAAGGUCAAGGCCAGCCAGGCAACCGUGCUUGCCAAGGGGAAGCAGCAUUAAAUAUGUAAAUAUUCUCUUUUGAUGAUAGCAUAAGACAUGCAUUUUAAUAAAUUAAUGUAUUAUAUCGUUCAAUAAAAACAUUUAAUUCAAUAUCGGUGCACUUGUUUUCUUUUUUGCACUACAUGAGUCUGCACUAGUGGAAUUGCUUGAAAUAUUUCUUUCGGCUACAUAUGAGAGUACAGCUGGUUCAGGAUCAUUAUUAAUCUAUUAACAUGAAUGCAUAAAUGCAGAUGGGAAGCAACAGGUGCACAUGCAUAAUAUACGUUCAAAAUUUUGUUGCCGCCAUAUGUAAACAAAAAUUUUAACUACCUUGUAGAUAGAUUUCAUUCAAGCGAAUGCAUUGCAUGCGACUAAACUUUCUUCAAUGUGCAAUUACACAAAUGAUCAUGCAGCUUUACAUAAUGAUUCACGGCUGCAUACAUUUUAGAUUUUUGACUGCUUCCAUCUGCAUGCAUGCUUUUCUAUGUACAGUUCCCUAUGUAUGUUCCCAUAUGCAUACUGGAUACAAUAAAUUUUUAUAGACAUUUCCAAUAAUCUGCUUAUUAGCAAACCCCAGCAGCGAGUGUUUAUGGAAUAACAUUGCCUGCCGAAACAUAGUUAGAAAAAUGUGGUGUAUUAUCUAGUAUAUAUGGUGUCCCAGUAAUUUUAGCCAAGCUGGUCAAUGAAAAUGAAAGGUUAAAAACAACACGGUGCAAGAUAUAUGAUCAUAAAAAGACCUGAAGGUCAGACCUCUGAAUUCAAGGCCGA